AUACGUAGGGGGCGAGCGUUGUCCGGAAUGAUUGGGCGUAAAGGGCGCGUAGGCGGCCCGGUAAGUCUGGAGUGAAAGUCCUGUUUUUAAGAUGGGAAUUGCUUUGGAUACUGUCGGGCUUGAGUGCAGGAGAGGUAAGUGGAAUUCCCAGUGUAGCGGUGCAAUGCGUAGAGAUUGGGAGGAACACCAGUGGCGAAGGCGACUUACUGGACUGUAACUGACGCUGAGGCGCGAAAGUGUGGGGAGCAAACAGGAUUAGAUACCCUGGUAGUCCACACUGUAAACGAUGAAUGCUAGGUGUAGGGGGUAUCGACCCCUUCUGUGCCGCAGUCAACACAAUAAGCAUUCCGCCUGGGGAGUACGGCCGCAAGGUUGAAACUAAAAGGAAUUGACG
rnacentral:rRNA from 1 species